GUCCAUUUGGCCGAGUGGUCUAAGGCGAUGGUUUUAAGUUAAUUCUUGAUCACCAUUUUCAUUGCGAAGCGUGAGUUCGAACCUCACAGUGGACA